GGUCCUAAGGUAGCGAAAUUCCUUGUCGGGUAAGUUCCGACCUGCACGAAUGGCGUAAUGAUGGCCAGGCUGUCUCCACCCGAGACUCAGUGAAAUUGAACUCGCUGUGAAGAUGCAGUGUACCCGCGGCAAGACGGAAAGACCCCGUGAACCUUUACUAUAGCUUGACACUGAACAUUGAGCCUUGAUGUGUAGGAUAGGUGGGAGGCUUUGAAGCGUGGACGCCAGUCUGCGUGGAGCCAACCUUGAAAUACCACCCUUUAAUGUUUGAUGUUCUAACGUUGGCCCCUGACCGGGGUUGCGGACAGUGUCUGGUGGGUAGUUUGACUGGGGCGGUCUCCUCCCAAAGCGUAACGGAGGAGCACGAAGGUUAGCUAAUCCUGGUCGGACAUCAGGAGGUUAGUGCAAUGGCAUAAGCUAGCUUGACUGCGAGCGUGACGGCGCGAGCAGGUGCGAAAGCAGGUCAUAGUGAUCCGGUGGUUCUGAAUGGAAGGGCCAUCGCUCAACGGAUAAAAGGUACUCCGGGGAUAACAGGCUGAUACCGCCCAAGAGUUCAUAUCGACGGCGGUGUUUGGCACCUCGAU
rnacentral:rRNA from 1 species